GACGGAGGAUGCAAGUGUUAUCCGGAAUCACUGGGCGUAAAGCGUCUGUAGGUGGUUUAAUAAGUCAACUGUUAAAUCUUGAGGCUCAACCUCAAAAUCGCAGUCGAAACUAUUAGGCUAGAGUAUAGUAGGGGUAAAGGGAAUUUCCAGUGGAGCGGUGAAAUGCGUAGAGAUCGGAAAGAACACCAACGGCGAAAGCACUCUGCUGGGCCGACACUGACACUGAGAGACGAAAGCUAGGGGAGCGAAUGGG
rnacentral:rRNA from 1 species